AGGUGCGAUCACACCAGCAAUAAAGCACCCGAUCCCAUCAGAACUCUGAUGUUAAGCAGGCUUGGACGAGAGUAGUACUAGGAUGGGUUACCUCCUUGGAAGUCCUCGUGUUGCACCUC
rnacentral:rRNA from 2 species